rnacentral:lncRNA from 1 species
AGGGACGCUGGUCGUUCAAUCCGAAACUAAGAGACCUGCUAUAUUUCAUAACACAUCGUCUGUCAAAAUACCUCUUCAUUUAUUCAGCGAAUCAGCCAUGAUAUAAUCACAUGUGAGAAAGCAACGCAUUAGAAAAGAACCGAAAGCAAUAAGCACAAGAAAACAUUAUCAAUUAUGUGACAAAAUCACAGAAAUUUAGUGCCAUUAGGGGAAAGGAAAAAAAAAGAAAAACAAAAACAAAAGCAUAAACAGUUUUCAGUUUAGUUUUGAUCAAAACCACUCAAACCGAAGUUCCCAAGCUUUUU